CUAACUGACGUUCCCCCUUGAUGCAGUAAGGUUUCAUGCUUGGUGCAUCUACUACGAUAUUGUAGUCUUCAAGCACACCUGCAAAAGUACCUAAAAAUAGGUUUUCGGUACCCAACUUCUUUUGGGUCCUUGGGGGUUAGGCAAAUAAUAAUCAUAAUCAAAAUAUGAAUCUCUAUGUUUCGCAAAAUAUACGGGUGCAAUGUGUCCUACCCAGUUAAAAUAAUGAAAUAUGACAUUAGG
rnacentral:lncRNA from 1 species